UGGGGAAUAUUGGGCAAUGGGCGCAAGCCUGACCCAGCAACGCCGCGUGAAGGAAGAAGGCUUUCGGGUUGUAAACUUCUUUUGUCAGGGAAGAUGAAGAGACUGUACCUGACGAAUAAGCCACGGCUAACUACGUGCCAGCAGCCGCGGUAAUACGUAGGUGGCAAGCGUUGUCCGGAUUUACUGGGUGUAAAGGGCGUGUAGGCGGGAAGAUAAGUCAGGCGUGAAAACCAGAGGCUCAACCUCUGGCCUGCGUUUGAAACUGUUUUUCUUGAGUACUGGAGAGGUUGGCGGAAUUCCUAGUGUAGCGGUGAAAUGCGUAGAUAUUAGGAGGAACACCAGUGGCGAAGGCGGCCAACUGGACAGCAACUGACGCUGAGGCGCGAAAGCGUGGGGAGCAAACAGG
rnacentral:rRNA from 1 species